rnacentral:rRNA from 1 species
UGGCGGCAUUGCCUUACACAUGCAAGUCGANCGGUAACAGGUCUUCGGACGCUNACGAGUGGCGAACGGGUNAGUAAUACAUCGGGAACGUGCCCAGUCGUGGGGGAUAACUACUCGAAAGAGUAGCUAAUACCGCAUACGAUCUGAGGAUGAAAGCGGGGGACCUUCGGGCCUCGCNCGAUUGGAGCGGCCGAUGGCAGAUUAGGUAGUUGGUGGGAUAAAAGCUUACCAAGCCGACGAUCUGUAGCUGGUCUGAGAGGACGACCAGCCACACUGGGACUGAGACACGGCCCAGACUCCUACGGGAGGCAGCAGUGGGGAAUUUUGGACAAUGGGCGAAAGCCUGAUCCAGCAAUGCCGCGUGCAGGAUGAAGGCCUUCGGGUUGUAAACUGCUUUUGUACGGAACGAAAAAGCUCCUUCUAAUACAGGGGGCCCAUGACGGUACCGUAAGAAUAAGCACCGGCUAACUACGUGCCAGCAGCCGCGGUAAUACGUAGGGUGCGAGCGUUAAUCGGAAUUACUGGGCGUAAAGCGUGCGCAGGCGGUUAUGUAAGACAGAUGUGAAAUCCCCGGGCUCAACCUGGGAACUGCAUUUGUGACUGCAUGGCUAGAGUACGGUAGAGGGGGAUGGAAUUCCGCGUGUAGCAGUGAAAUGCGUAGAUAUGCGGAGGAACACCGAUGGCGAAGGCAAUCCCCUGGAACCUGUACUGACGCUCAGCAGAAAG